UACGUAGGGUGCGAGCGUUGUCCGGAAUUAUUGGGCGUAAAGGGCUCGUAGGCGGUCUGUCACGUCGGGAGUGAAAACUCAGGGCUUAACCCUGAGCCUGCUUCCGAUACGGGCAGACUAGAGGUAUGCAGGGGAGAACGGAAUUCCUGGUGUAGCGGUGAAAUGCGCAGAUAUCAGGAGGAACACCGGUGGCGAAGGCGGCCUUCUGGACAGUGACUGACGCUGAGAUGCGAAAGCGUGGGGAGCAAACAGG
rnacentral:rRNA from 1 species